UACGAAGGGGGCUAGCGUUGUUCGGAAUUACUGGGCGUAAAGCGCACGUAGGCGGAUAUUUAAGUCAGUGGUGAAAUCCCGGGGCUCAACCCCGGAACUGCCUUUGAUACUGGAUAUCUCGAGUCCGAGAGAGGUGAGUGGAAUUCCGAGUGUAGAGGUGAAAUUCGUAGAUAUUCGGAGGAACACCAGUGGCGAAGGCGGCUCACUGGCUCGGUACUGACGCUGAGGUGCAAAAGCGUGGGGAGCAAACAGG
rnacentral:rRNA from 1 species